rnacentral:rRNA from 1 species
GACGAACGCUGGCGGCGUGCCUAAUACGUGCAAGUCGAACGAAGCUUUUUUAACUGGUGCUUGCACCGACUUAAACAACUGAGUGGCGAACGGGUGAGUAACACGUGGGUAACCUGCCCCAAAGCGGGGGAUAACAUUUGGAAACAGAUGCUAAUACCGCAUAACCACAGAAACCACAUGGUUUCUGUGUCAAAGAUGGUUUCGGCUAUCACUUUGGGAUGGACCCGCGGCGCAUUAGCUAGUUGGUAAGGUAAUGGCUUACCAAGGCAAUGAUACGUAGCCGAACUGAGGGGUUGAUCGGCCACAUUGGGAGUGAGACACGGCCCAAACUCCUACGGGAGGCAGCAGUAGGGAAUCUUCCACAAUGGACGAAAGUCUGAUGGAGCAACGCCGCGUGAGUGAAGAAGGUUUUCGGAUCGUAAAACUCUGUUGUCAGAGAAGAACGUGUGCGAGAGUAACUGUUCGUGCAGUGACGGUAUCUGGCCAGAAAGCCACGGCUAACUACGUGCCAGCCGCCGCCGUAA